rnacentral:rRNA from 1 species
GAAUGGCUCAUAUAACAGUACCUUAUCAACUUGAUCUUGACACAAUCCUACUUGGAUAACCGUGGUAAUUCUAGAGCUAAUACAUGCAUUAAAGCUCUGACCUUCGGGGAAGAGUGCAUUUAUUAGAACAAAACCAAGCGGCUUCGGCUGUUUUCGGUUGACUCAUAGUAACUGAGCUGAUCGCAUGGUCUUGCACCGGCGACGUGUCUUUCGAGUAUCUGCCGUAUCAACUUUCGAUGGUAGUGUAUCUGACUACCAUGGUGAUCACGCGUAACGGAGAAUAAGGGUUCGACUCCGGAGAGUUCGCCUGAGAAAUCGCGAACGCAUCUAAGGAAGGCAGCAGGCGCGAAAAUUACCCACUCUCAGCACGAGGAGGUAGUGACGAAAAAUAACGAGACCGUUCUCUUAUGAGGCCGGUCAUCGGAAUGGGUACAAUUUAAACCCUUUAACGAGUAUCUAUGAGAGGGCAAGUCUGGUGCCAGCAGCCGCGGUAAUUCCAGCU